CCUAUUGUACAAAAGUGUCCGUCAUUUCAUAUUCUAUUUAUACAUAUACAUUGCCACACACACAAAAAAAUAAUGCUCAUGUGGUAUUAUCGGUGCUCCGGUUGUGUGCUGUUCUAUGUAGUUUACAUGCCAUCACUUUCUCUUUAAAAUCCAGCGCUCUCUUCAUCUAGAGUAUGCCAAUAAAACCUAUUAAAUUAAAUUAAAUCUAGAUAACAAAACAAAGUGACAGUUCACGCUUCUCCAGAUGUCUCUCGCUAUAGGUUUCAAAUCACCCUCUGGUUUCAUUUGUCCUCACUGUCUGCUGUGAAAACCCGAGAUGUUAGGUCUAGAUUGUUCAAAUAAACUACAUUCUCUUUCAGACUCGAGGCUACCUUGAUAAAUGUCAGUUUUGUGGUGAAGUAACACCUCAUUUGUUUUGCUGAUCAAGUUAAACCAGAUAAUGCUGAGCAGAUGAGGCUACACCUUCAUGAAUCACGCCCAUCAUUUAUGACACUGAAAGACUGGCUUUCCUGAUUCAUUUUACUGACAGCCUUUGAAGCGCAGGACGUCCCGAGGCCGGUAUCUCCACAGUCUAAACAAGCGUUCACCUGGGAACUCGUUGCCUGAAAACAGUGCUCAGAAAAACUGAGCACACAGGAGAAUGGACAGACUGAGUCAAUGAGAGGUCAAGUCUUUCUGAAGUUACACCGCACUGGUGCCAGUUAAGUAUAUAGAUUCCUGUUUUUCCGGAGGGGGAGAAAAACUAAAAACAAAGAGGGAAAAACGGGUUGACAUCCUGUAUAAGAAUGUUUUUUUUAACAAUAAAACGCAAAAUUCAAAC
ensembl:lncRNA